GAGAUUGUGGCUCAAUGGUAGAGCACUUGCCUAGCAUGCAUGAGGCACUAGGUUCGAUCCCCGUGUCUAUCUAU
rnacentral:tRNA from 1 species